GUGGGAGCCUGGGGGAAAUUGGGGAUUUGGACCUGUUCCCUCGCCCCAUCCCACCCCAGCUGGAUGCUCAAGCCAGGAGUCCAGGCUGCAGCUGCGGCGGAAGAACUCCUCACCCCACUCCCCGCCCAUCCCCAGGGACUUACUGCACUGGGGAAGGGUGAAGCAGCAGGGAUUCAAUUGUCCCCUCCUUGCGGGGGGCAGAGGGAGGCACCCAGUGCGGAGGACGAACAUUCGCAUUCUGCAAAUGUGCUAGGGCCGCUUUCUUUGGGGAGCGUGAUUAGGGCUCCGAAGGGUGGAGGAGCUGGAGAGUACAGGGAAGGGGGGUUGUGGGGAGAGGAGGAGCAGGUUUCGGAGCCCAGGGCUGUAAAUCAAGUCUUCUCCCACAGAGGGCCCAGCUGACCAGGAUUCCAGUCUUCCUGUGGGUCCCAAGUGGGGAAAGUUGGGCGCAUGGAAGCCCUGUGUGUUCCUGACCUGCAGGGCCUCGGCGGGAGCGGCCACCGGGGAGAGGAGCCCAGGCAGCUUCCUUGGGAGCGACAGGCAAGCCGCCUGCCAGGAUGAAAUUCAAAUGCUCUGACACAAGGGAGAUCCGGCCAGGAAAAGAGCGCAGGGCUCUGCGGGACCCCCAGAACUGGAGAAACUGAGUCUGGUGGCAGCACAGCCACCAUCUGCGCUGCGUUCCCUGUCUUGCGGUCGGGCCCGCGUCCCCCACCCUCUGCUGCGCUCCAAGCCGCACCUGCCCCCACCCCAGCCCAUUGUUCCUGCGGAUCAGGGAGGUGCCUCACCACACGGCAUUGCAGUGGUGGGGGAGUGCAGGGUGGGGGGUGGGGGAUCCUGACAGGGCUCACUCCAGGGAGAGGGAGCGGAGAGGCCAGGCCGUGCCCAAACGCACACCCAAUCUGCCCCCGCCUAUGCUCUUCCUCAGCUGACGAAUGCAGGCGAUGGACUGGCAGCUGUCUUUGUUUGAAUAUCACUCAGCAACUGGAUUGAUUCUUUUUUAUUUUAACUUUUUUCUUUAAAUCAUAAAAAAAAAAAAUUUAUUUAGGACAGUAAGUAGGGGCGUUGACUUGCUAAAGCCUGAGAAUUAGUGAGCCAGUUUUUUGCUUCUCAUGCUGGGAUAGAGUGGGCGAUGGUACCAAAUGCAGGGUUGGACAUAGGAUUUGUCGAAUCAGAAGUGGGCACACCCCACUCCCCACACCCUUUCCAACACUGUUUUGUCUUGUAAACCAAAUUCAGCAUCCCUAUUCUAUCCUACCCCCGCAACCCUCCCCACAUGCGUGCGCGCACACACACACGCACACACGCAAGGUGCUGGGAGAAAUCCCAUUCAGGAUGGGGACAUCCAUGCCUGGUAUGCUGGGCCACUUGACGCUGCUCUUCUGGCUCUGUUCUGGAGUGUUUGUUUCUUCACUUCCAGUGACCUCCAGUUCAAGGUGGCCAGUGAGAAUUCCAGAUACAUGGACUUAGGACAGAGACCGACCUGAAGAUUGGGCUGUCCCUGGCAACUCACCGUGCCUCUGGGCACCUCUCCUUUUAACUGACCACCUCGAGGCUCUGGGUGUUGGACAGCAAGAUUUGAGAUGACCUUCAAUCCCGCCCUCUCCCCUGUGACCUGAGUGAGUUGACACAUGGAGCCCUAGAAGGGCGAGAUGAGUUGAAGGUGGGCAGAUUGGUUCAGACAGGGAUGGUUCCUGUGGUGACUGAGUCAGGGCUAGGCAUGGGCAGUGGAAACCGUCAUUUUCUCCAGGGUGGGGCUUGAGGAGAGGGAUGACGGGCAGGCAGUUUUGCCUAGGUUGAGGGUGUCUCUCGAGGCCUGGCAUUAGGCUUUGGAGAUGCCAUCCUGGAGGUUCAUCUUAAUAAAAAAGACAUUUUAAACAUUGACAUUUAUUGAGGACUUAGUGUGUGCUGAAACCUGGGAAUAUUGAGUUAUCUCAUUUAGCCCUGACCAUAUUUGUUGUUGAAUGAAUGACUAUGAGGGGUUCCCUUUUAUCCCAUUUCACAGAGGAAGAAGCUGACAGUCCUAGCAGCGCAUAGCUGGAAGGGGGCAGAGUGAGGGUCAGGACCUAAGCCGUGGGACGCAGGCCCCAAGUGGUCAAGCUGAACAGCUUCUCCUGGCACAUGCCUGGCAUGUCGCAGGCCCUCAGGGAAUUGUGUUGAGUAGGCCUGCAGCUAAUAGAGAGCGGCUGCCCCGCUUUCUAUAGCUACCAAGCUGCACAUGGUGGUGACAGGGCACUGGUUGUAGCCUCCAAAGGAAUUAAGCAAAGGUCAAGGUGAUGCUCUGGGUAUUGCCGGUUACGGUUCUGGCCAUGGGAUCCACUUCCGUGUUAACACCCACUGCUGCAACUGUAUCUGCAGCCUUGGUGGUCCCCACAUGCCCCCUGUGCAUGUCCCUACACAGUGUCUUGUGUUUUUUUGAGUCAUUUCAUCGCCUUUGACCCUCAACACAUGCAGUUCCCCCUGCUUGGGACAUCCUCCCUUUGUCUAGCAAACUCCUACUCAUCCUUCAAAACUCAGUGAAGGUAUCGCAUCUCAGGAAGCCUUCCUGGGCUCAUCCAUUGGGGUGAGAUCUGCCUGUGUGGUCCCAAAGCCUGUGGUACUUGACUGUUGGUAAUUCCAACUAGUGUGUGUUGAGCCCCUACGAUGUGCCAGCCUUCUAUGCCUGUAUCCCAUCGACUGCUCUACCAAUCCUAUGAGGCUGGUAUUAUUAUUACCCCAUUUUGCUGAUUGAGGGCUUUGAGAAACUUGCUCACUUGCCUAACCAGUGAUUGCUGGAGUUGGGAUGAGUCAGCCGUGGAGCCUAAAAGCUUGUGCUAUUUCUCUCAAUGUCCUUUCUCCCGGGAAAGGCAUGGACUAUGUCUUUCAUUUUCAUAUUUUUUUUUUAGGUAUUCAUUAAAUGUCUUACUCUUGGUUGAAUAUCAGCCAGCAAGACAUGAGGGAACACAGCAGAGGGCAAUGGUGUCUAUAUCUUGCUCACUCUGCAGUGGCGCUCCUGGAAAUGAGGAUGCUCAGGAGUGGGCCAAGCUGGAGGGGAAUCAGGCAGAGCUUCGGCAAUCUCAGAAGAGAAGCAGAUUCCAGUAAGGCCUGGAGUGACGACUCAAUCUUGUGGAGGCGAAAUGCUCUCUUCUCAUAUAAAUAGGCCUUUUUGGUAAGGGAGAAAGCAUCUUUAUUACUGCUGUGCAUAAUUAGAACAGCAGGGAGGAAUCAGGCUUUUAAUGAAUGAGCAGUGUGUGGCAGGGAGUGAACGCCUGCCACUGUGGGCACCCUCGGGCCUGGGCAUCCCCAAGAGAGAGCAGGGCCAGUGAGGAGAUGACCAAGGAAGCGCAAGCAGCCCUCAGAAAUGAAACCCGCCCCACUGAAGUGGGCCCUGCCAGUCUCUGCUGUGUUCCUGUUACUGCAAAUGACUCCCAGGCUGCAGCUUUGCAGUUGCUGCUCUGAGCUCUGCCAGGACCACCCUUCUUCUUCCAGCCUUGUCUGUGACCUGGCAGCCGCAGAUAUCCUGUGGGGCUGGCAGCUGCUCCAUGGCACCCAUUCUGGGCAAUCCCGAGCUGCAGAGUUUGUGCCUUGAUUUUAGUCCCCUUAUUUUUAGGGUGACCAUAUGUCCUGGUUUGCUGGAAUAGUUCUAGUUUAUGUUUCUUGUCCUGGUGAAAUUAGUAAUAGCGAUACCUUUCACCUUCUAAGUAUCUCAGUUUGGAAGGUGAAUUAUGUGGUGGUGCUCCUUAUCUUUGUCUUCUCAGCCAUCUGGGCCUCAAGAGGAAUGAGGGAGGCAGUAGGGUGUGCAAAUUAAACCUGGGCUUUGGGCUCAGAUGCAUGUAACAUCUGGCUUUAACAUUGCUGCAUCUCAGUUUCUUCUGCUGUAGGUAAGGAUGAUUAAUAAUCCCUGCUCCACUGGGGUGCCGUGAGAAUGAAGUGAGAGUAUUUAAAGAGCGUAGGUAUGAGCCUGGUACUUAGAGGGCUCUCAGUAACUUCCAAUUAUUUUAUUAUUAUUGUUAGGUUGAUUUGGGAAGUAUAGUGGUUAAAUAUGAGAUCUGGGACCAGGCUGCCUGGGUUCAUAUCCUAGACAGUGACCCUGGCAAGUUACUUAACUGUGUAAAGACUCAGUUUUUCUCAUCUGGAAAGUAUGGACUAUAACAGUCUCUUCUUUAUGUAGUCUUUGUGAGGAUUAAAUGAGUUUAUACAUGAAAAGCACUUAGAGGAGAGCUGGGCAUGAAAUAGACAUUGAAUUAAUAUGAGCAAUUAUUAUUGGCUGUUAUUGUUACUAUGAAUAAAUGUCCCGAGUUACAUUCUUGUAGGCAGGAGGAAUUAUCCAGUACAUUUGUUUCCUAUUGCUGUUGUAAAACUUACCACAAAUUUAAUGGCUGAAAACCAUACAAAUUUAUUGUCUUUUAUUUCUGGAAGUCAGGAAUAAGUCCAAAAUGGGUCUCCCUGGGCUAAAACCAAGGCGUUGGCAGAACCGUAUUCCUUCUGGAGGCUCGAGGAGAGAAUCCAUUUCCCUGCCUUUUCAAACUUCUCAAGGUGACCUGCAUUCCUUGGCUUGUGGCCCCUUCUUCAAUCUUCCAAGCCCAUCACUGCAACUUCUGCUUCCAUGGCCACAUUCCUUCUCUGUCUCUGCCUCUCCUCCUCCUACUCCCUUUAUGAGGACCCUUGUAUGAGGAUCUUUUAUAAGGCCUACUUGCAUAAUCAUUUCCCCAUCUCAAGACCCUUAAUUUAAUCAUGUCUGCAGACUCCCUCUUGCCAUGGGAGAUAACAUAUUUAUAGAUCUUAGGGGGCUACUAUUGAGCCUCUCAUAGCCAGAAAGAUUGGAGUCUUGCCUAGGUUUGGGGGUGUUAGAGAGUCUUCCGUCUCCUCAGAAGCUGUUUGAAAUUUGGAAAUGGUUCUUCCUCCGUGUCGUACAUUAGGGCAGGUUCCUCAUGCACUUGCUGCAUGUUGCCCUCCCUGGAAUUUGGAUUGUGGAUCAGCCUUUGACUUCCAUUCAAUCUCAGUAGGGUCCUUGGAGACACUGUUACUUCCAAGGGCUGGUUUAGUCCCUUCUCAGGGACCCAUGACUCAUUGAGACCAGAAUAAAAAGGUUUAUUGGCUCCCAAGCAGGGAAAACAAUCAAUGCACUAAACAAGUUAUUGAAAUGUCUAUAAAAUGUCAUAUUAUAUUUGCUUUUACUAUGUAACAAACCACCCCAAAGUUUAAUGGGUUAAAACAAUAGUCUUUUUUUUUUUUAUUUUUUUUUAAGAGAGGGUCUUCCUCUGUGACCCAGGCUCGAGAGUGGUGGCAUGACCUUGGCUCAUGCAGCCUCUGCUUCCUGGAUCAAACGAUCCUCCCACCUCAGCUUUGUGGGUAGCUGGGACUAAAGGCGCACACCACCAUGCCUGGGGCAUUUUUUUUUUUUUCUGUAGAAACAAAGUCUCACUAUGUUGCCCAGGCUAGUCUUAAACUCUUGGGCUCAAGCAACCCUCCUGCCUCAGCCUCCCAAAGUGCUGAGAUUGCAGGCAUGAGCCACUGUGCCUGGCAACAAUGAUCAUUUUAUGUGAUUAUGAUUCUCUGUCAGGUCUCUGUUGGGUGGUUGUUUUGCUGGUCUUCCCUGUGGCCACUUAUGUGACUGCAACACUCUGAUGGCUCAACUAGUCUGGGUAGUCCAAGAUGACCUCACUCACAGGUCUGGGGGUUGGUGCUGGCUGUUGGCUGGGCCUCAUUCUCCACAUGGUCUUUUAUCCUCCAAGAGGCAAGCUCAGGCUUCUUUAUGUGGUGGCCUUAGGGCAGCAAGAGGUUGCGAGGAGAAGCUGCAAGGCCUCUUGAGGCCUUCCUGGGAAGUCCUAUAAAACCAUGUCUGCUGUAUUCUGAUGGUCACAGCAAGUCAUGAAGCCAGCCCAGAUAGAGGGGAUGGAGAAAUUGCCUCCACCUCUUAAUGAGAGGACCUGCAAAGAAUGUGUGGCUAUUUUUAAUCUUGCAGAGUUGGCUUGGCAAAAAUGUUAAAACCACAAACUUUAGAAAACUAUAUUAUGCUUUAAAACAACUCAUGGGUUAGAUCUCACUUCUUAAGACUUUCUGCAAGUGCCCAAUGAUUGUCUGACACUUACAAUUAUUUGUUUGUUGUGCUACAAAAUGUGUUUCUAUAAGUGGUAAAUGAAGAAUGAUGUUGGUAUUUAGAAAAGCUGUAUUGGCACAUUCUAGUUGUUCCAAGCAUGCUUGCACUUUGAUAGAUCAGGAUGCACUGUCUUCAUGAUUAAAGGCUAAUACAUGAAAAAGCAAGAAAAAAAAAUGCUGAAAAUCUAUAGAUGCAACUUCCUUUAGUGCAAGUCAGAGCUGUUUUAAUAUAUUUCCACGCCCUUAAGCUCCGUGGGCAGAUAAGAGGGCAGAUGAAGGAGCUACAAAGACAUUGUCCCUAUAAGAAAAUGAUGGAUAUGGGUGACACUCUGGAUGGGUUUUGCAUAUUUCUUUCUUUUUUUUUUUUUUGAGACAGAGUCUAACUCUGUUGCUCAGGCUGGAGUACAGUGGCGCAAUCUUGGCUCACUGCAACCUCCAUCUCCUGGGUUCAACAAUCCUUGUGCUUCAGCUUCCUGAGGAGCUGGGACUACAGAUGUGUGCCAGGAUGCCUGGCUAAUUUUUGUAUUUUUAGUAGAGACAGGGUUUCACCUUGUUGGCCAGGCUGGUCUCGGACUCCUGACUUCAAGUGAUCCACCUGUCUUGGCUUCCCAAAGUGCUGGGAUUAAGGUUGUGAGCCACUGUGCUCUGUCCUGUUUUGCAUGAGAAUGGCCCCUUAAGAAGUGAGUGCCCUGUUACUGUUUUUGGAAAGGUUUCGGUAGCAAGCUUCCACAGGUGUGGAGUGAUCUGCGCCCACCCUGUUUUUUCCAUGAAUCCUGCUGUUUUUAGUGUAUGGGUUUGUAGAAUGUGAAGAUUUGUAGGAAAAUAUGCUGUAUUACAGCAGAAAUGCUUGUGCUGAUACUCCUUGACUUCCCAACUUAUGAUGGGGUUAUGUCCUGAUAAACCCAUAAAAACAUUGAAAAUAUCAUAUGUUGAAUCAUCCUAAGUUGAGGACUGUUUGUAUUUAUAUUGGAUGUGGGGUGAGUGUUCAUUGAAAAAAUAUUUGUUCUGAUUUGUGGCGAGCCUCCAAUAACAGCCAAUAGGAAGAGCCCGUUGUCACUUCCUAUUCAGUUGUUUUUGAACUUUUAGGACUACUUUGCUUUCCAGAUGUUUGCAUACUUGUUGGGUAGUUUUGUCAGUUAUGCUCAGAAUUUUAAUGUCAGAAAAUGGAGACUCCAGAAGGGUACUAAGUUCUGUAGGAGGGAGCUCCUGUUUCAUUGACCCACUCAGCACCCAGUAUCUUGGAGGCAAGUGGAGUACACCAGUGCCCUUUGCUUCCUAGAAACUGACAAUGAAAUUAUGUCCCUUGGGGGUUCCUGUGUUUUGUAAAUCAGACCUUAUGGUCUCAUUGGUUUCUCUGUGAUGAGGAACAGUGGUUCCCAUACCCAGGCUGCUGGUUCUGUUUGGGACAGGGAAGCUGUAGGUAUUCGGGCUCCAGCCUGCUGACUCUGAGGCCUCUGGCUGGCCCCUCUUUGCUUGUCUCCCAGGUUUCCUUGGGCUGAAGGCUAAACUCUGGCCACUUACUUCAUUUUCUUUCCUUUUUGUCAUUGUCUCUGAGUGGCCAUACCUGCUGGGAUAGGAAACCGUUUACAGCACAGCUGUCAGGCGAGGAGUCUGUUCCCAAAGCAGAGAAGAAAGUUAUCAGAAAACAACUGCUGUAGUCAGUCCACGCUGCUGCUGGCCCCAUUCGAAGGGACCAUGGUCUUCAGUUCGGGUGGUAGGUUCCCUGGGCCAGCAGUUAGAAAACAGGAUACAUGGAUAUAUCCACAGCUAAGUGCGACCAGGUUGUCCAAUGUCUGGGUUUGGCCCACCCUCUCAUUUUACAGAUGGGGAAACUGAGGUUAGGGAGGGAAAGAGACUGCCCCAGGACACUUGGCAAAGCCAGGGUCAGAAUCCAGGUCUGCCCACUCCCUCUGCAUGCUUUCCAGCUGAGCUUGGCAAUGGCUGCAGAAUCCUUCAGCAGUCCCGCCAGCCACUCCCAAUCAAGUCAGACAACACAAGGAUCCAAACCUCUUUGCCAUCAACAAAUUCAUGGCUUGCCCCUCCCAGCGGAAGUUAUAUUUUUAAAAAGUAUUUGAAGAAUGCUUAACUCAAAGGAAUGAAGUGCCAAGUCCCGUUGCUGUGGAUAAAACACUCCGCAACCGUGGAGUUGCGGGCCCCGCUUUUCUCUUCUGGUUUCUGGUGUGUUCCCUCACUCGACAGCGGUGGUUGCCCAUCUUUCUGUGCCUUGGCUCUUGGCACAACGUCUGUUUUGAAAGGGUUUUAAUUAAGGAUUUUGGUUGCAGGUAAUGGCAGACAUUCUUACUCUGGCUAGAGGAAGCCAAAAAGGUCACUUUACAGGGAGGAUCCAGGGAUGGCUUCCUGAACUUAGACCUGCUGCCAGGACUAGGAGGAGAAAGUGCUGGGAUUUUUUUGAGACGGAGUCUCGCUCUGUUACCCAGGAUGGAGUGCGGUGGCACGAUCGCGGCUCACUGCAGCCUCUGCCUCCUGGGUUCAAGUGAUUCUCCUGUCUCAGCCUCAAGAGUAGCUGGGAUUACAAGCAUGCACCACCAUCCCCAGCUAAUUUUGUAUUUUUGGUAGAGAUGGGGUUUCACCAUGUUGGCCAGGCUGGUUUUGAACUCCUGACCUCAACAGAUCUGCCCAACUCAGCCUCCCAAAGUGCUGGGAUUACAGGUGUGAGCCACCACCCUCAGCCCUGUCUCUUACUUCUGCUUUGCUCUGCAUGUCACCCACCCUUCCUCUCUGCAGGGCCACUUUAGGUGUUUCCCAUCUUCAGGGCAAAUGUGGCCCACCCCAGUGACCUCCAUGUUGAAGUGACAAGUUCUGGUACACAGGAGGUCUGAUGUCUGUCUUUUUUUUCUCUCUUUUCCAAGUCCAGAUUCCCAGAGGAGACCCCAAGUUUCAGGUAGGAUCAGGACCUGACCUAGAAACUGUCGACCCCGGCCAGAAGAAGGGUUACCUUGCUGAGAGGGGAAGUUAGAGGGGCACAGCAUCUGGUGGUCAGAGAGUAAUUGUCUCCCACAAAUCGUUAACAGUACUGGUACCUGGAGUUAAGCCCUGUGCAGUAAAGAAUUUCUAGAGUGAAAGUUAUCGGGAAACAACUCCCAUCGUCACUCCACACAGCUGCUGGCCCCAUUUGAAGGGACCAUGUUCAUCAGUUCAGGUGGUGGUUUCCCUGGGCCAGCAAUUAGAAAACAGGGCUCAUGGAUACAUCCACAGCUAAAUGCGUUCAGGUUGUCCAAUGUCUGGGCUGGGCCCACCCUCUCAUUUUACAGAUGGGAAACAGACGUCAGGGAGGGAAAGAGACUGCUUCAGGAUGCUUGGCAAAGCCAGGAUCAGAAUCCAGGUCUGCUGACUCACUCUGCUUGCUGUACAUGCAUGGAAAAGAAAGAGAUUACCUGUUAGAAAUUUUGCUCUUUUGUUCUUUCUUGGAGAAAAUUACUUCCUCCCAUAUAAGCAUUUCAUGCUGCAGGGGGUAACUGACCAGUGGGUCCCUCCCAUGAGAACAAUGCACAGACCCUUGGCGUGUUCUUCUGGGGUGUGGUGCGCUGUAGUCAGUCCAUGUGUCCGCUGGCCCGUAUGAAGGGACCAUGGUCAUCAGGUCUGGUGGUGGUUUCCCUGGGGCAGCAGUUAAGAGGGCCGCAGGAGGGAUGCAUCAUUCUUCUGAGUCAUUUGCUUCACUUUUCCCUCCUAGAUCUGGCAGCUGGUUUAAGUUCUGGGAGCCACCCCUGGAUCCUCACCGUAAAGUGACCUUUUUGGCUUGGCUUCCUCUAUCCAGAGGUUUGGUUGCAGGUUUACUUACCUGCAACCAAAAUCCCUUUUAAAACAGACAUUCUGCCAAGAGCCACGGCACAGAAAGAUGGGCAACCACCAUUGUCAGGGGCCAGUUCUGCCUAAGCACAAGGACCUCCUCCAGGGUCCUCCAGGGGAGGCCGAGUGGCCAGCUGUGGAGUAUGUACCAUUGGCUGAGUCCACGAAGGCCCAUGCAGCAGGACCCUGGAGCAGACCGAGGGAACGGGGCUGCUCGGAGAAGCUGGCCCGCACCUGAGGGCACACUGAUUCCUCCCUGCCAUAGCUCCUUGGCUUCUCUCCCAGGAAAUGUUAGGAGGGUGGAAACCAUGUUUGACCCAGCCUGGGGAAGCCAGAGGGCCUGGUUCCUUCAUAGUGAGGUUGCUGGGCUGUACAGAGGCCCCUGAAAGGCCUUUACCCCACAGCCUCGGUCUGUCUGUCAGACCAGCUAUGGCAAGAUGCUUUUGAAGAUAUAUUUGACCGUCCAUCUUUUGGCAUCAGCCUCUGGUAGUCCUGGCUAGCAAAGCUGCUAGAGCAGGUUGGAGGUGGGCAUGGCUGGGGAAGGAAGUCACCCGGGGCCAGGCAGACCCUGAGAAGAGGGGCUAACAGAUGGAACGGGGUGUGAGGGACCCCAGGCCUCCUUUGUAGGCGGUAAGGCAGAGCGGGUUUUGGAGUAAGACAAUACUUGGUUCAAAUCCUGUUGCUACCUCUUACUACUAAGUGGCCUCAGGCAAGUCAUUGCGCCUUUCUGGGCCUCAGUCAAGUAUAAAAAGCACUCAAUACCCAUGCCUGGGAGCUAGUGUUGGAUGGGCACUUGGCGGAGUGAAAUGGGCUUAGCUCAGUUAGAACGUCCUGGUUUGAGUCCUGGCUCCCACACCUGGCCUUGACCUCACCAAGUUAUUCAACCUCUCUGGAUCCCUCUGACCUUACCUUAAAAGUACAGGUCACAGCACUUCAUAGGUUGUUUUUGAGAAUUAGAUGAGGCCACGUAUGUGAAUAAUUUGUCCUCCACAUGAAACAUGCGUGGUCAACAUUAGGCAUCAUCAUUAUCACUGUUAGUAUUUUGAGACGGAGUCCUGCUCUGUCAUCCAGACUGGAAUGCAGUGGCACCAUCUCAAUUCACUGCAAACUCCUCCUCCAGGGUUCAAGCAGCUCUCCUGCCUCACCCUCCCAAGUAGCUGGGAUUAUAUGUGCCCACUACCAUGCCCGGAUAAUUUUUGCAUUUUUAGUAGAGAUGGGGUUUCACCAUGUUGGCCACACUUGUCUCGAACUCCUGGCCUUUGGCCUCCCAAAGGGCUGGGAUGACAGGUGUAAGCCACUACGCCUGGUCAUCUUUAUUCUUUAAAACACACAUUGGGCACAUACAAGGUACUCAGAAAGGUCAAUAUUAGGGAGUGGAGCUGGCUAAGUAGGUGGGGUUCCUUGCUGGGAGAUUUUUGUAAAGUUUACUCUAUUGAGGUCUAAGUUACUUAAGAUAAGACUCACUCACACUUUUUGGCUGUACAGUUUUAUGAGUUUUGUCAAAUGUUCAGUUGACCCUUGAACAACAUGGGUGUGACUUGCACAGGCCCUCUUAUCCAUGAAUUUUUUUUCAGUAAAUAUAUUAGAACAUUUCUUUGGAAAUUUGUAACAAUUUACUGCAUAACCUAUUGAAAAAUUAAGAAUUUAGGUAUGUCAUGAAUGCAUAAAAUAAUGUGUUAAUUGACUGUUUAUGUUAUUGUUAUGGCUUCCGGUCAACAGUAGGCUAUUUGUAGUUAAGUUUUGGGGGAGUCACAAGUUAUCUGUGGAUUUUUAACUGUGCAGGGGCUUGGUGCCCCUAACCCUCAUGUUGUUCGAGGGUCAACUAUAGUCAUGUAACCACCACGUCAGUGCAGAAUAUUUCCAACUUAGGAGGAUUUUGUCAUUCAGGAGGAUCUUCUGAUUUACAGAGGGCCUCCCUUUUGAUGGUAGGGGAUCUCAAGGCCUGGACCAUACCCCAUAGGGAGGGACUCUCGGGGUCCACCCAGUGGCAGCAUCCCAGCCUGUCCCUUGGGGCUUUUACCAGCCAGAGGUUGUGGGUAGGCUUCUGUGACCUUCCUGGCCUGCUCCUCAUUGGCUCUGAAGAAAGGAGAGAUGGAGCCUGCAGGCUGCCCUUUGUCAGUCCCUGGGCCAGGCAAUGCUGCCAGGCGAAGGCUAAGAACCCACUUGAACUGAGAGCUGAGACACAGCCCAUGUUUGUGUGAGUUACUCAGAGAGCCAGGACGAGUGAGGUGUAGCCUAAAAUGAGGGUCCCAUGUCUCUGCUUGCCAUAAGGCCACCUACAGGGGUGUGUGAGGGCCCUUGCCCUGGGAGGCUCAUUGCCUGGCACAUAAGAAGCAUCAAGAUGGGUCCCUGGAGGGGGUGGUUUGAGGACUCUUCUGAAAGGCUCCCCAUACCUGCCCCUGGCCACAGAGCCUGCAGUUCCACCAUCAGGGAGGCUUUUACUCAUGCAGAUGUGAUUUGGUGCCACAUUCCUUUGGGUUAAACAUUAUUUCUUCAGUAUUCUCUUUCUUUUUUUUUUUUUUUUUGAGACUGAGUUUUGCUCUUGUCACCUAGGCUGGAGUGCAAUGGUGCGAUCUCGGCUCACUGCAACCUCCACCUCCUGGGUUCAGGCAAUUCUCCUGCCUCAGCCUCCUGAGUAGCUGGGAUUACAGGCACGCGCCACCAUGCCCAGCUAAUUUUAUUUGUAUUUUUAGUAGAGAUGGGAUUUCACCAGGUUGACCAGGAUGAUCUCGAUCUCUUGACCUUGUGAUCCACCCGCCUUGGCCUCCCAAAGUGCUGGGACAGUGUUCUCUUUCAAAAGGAAGCUCCUGCUCUGCAUAUAAAACCCUUAGAUAAGCAAUGGCAUGUAGACUUGAAUUGUGUCCACAUCACUGACUCAUAGGGAAGAAGCUGUCUGGAGAGCUGUGUGAAGAAGGAUUCUGAGGUCACCUCUGGCUCAGUUGGAAAGAAUGCAAUAAUCAGUUAGUGCUGUGUGUCCCAAAUGCCCCACUUAGGGCUAGUUCAUGAUGGCUUCUGAGGCUUGAAGCCUACAUUUGUCACUGAGGAAGUUACCCAGGUGACUGUGUACUAGGUUAUAUGAAGCUAAAUUUAUUCCAUCUGAAAAAGAAUUUCUGAUAUUAUGCCCUUGUGGUAGCUUAUUGAAUUAAUAAUCUACGAUAAAUCAUGUCUCCAGGUACAGAUGCUCCUCAACUUACGAUGGAGUUACAUCCUGAUAAACCCAUUGUAAAUUAAGAAUAUCAUUAAGUAGAAAAUGCAUCUAAUCCACCUAACCUACAGACCAUCAUAGGCUAGCCUACCUUAAAUAUGCUCAGAACACUUACAAGGCUGGGCAUGGUGGCUCAUGCCUGUAAUCCCAGCACUUUGGUAGGUGAGGUGGGCAGUUCACAAGGUCAGGAGUUCGAGACCAGCCUGGCCAACAUGGUGAAACCCUGUCUCUACUGAAAAUAUAAAAGUUAACUGGGCGCAGUGGCACAUGCCUGUAAUCCUAGCUACCAGGGAGGCUGAGGCAAGAGAAUCGCUUGAACCCGAGAGGUGGAGGUUGCAGUGAGUCGAGAUGCCACUGCAGUCCAGCCUAGGGGAAAGAGUGAGACUCUGUUUAAAAAAAAAAAAUUAGCCAGGCAUGGUGGUGCAGACAUGUAAUCCCAGUGCUUAGAGGCUAAGAUGGGAGAAUCACUUGAACCAGGAGGCGGAGGUUGCAGUGAGUUGAGAUCGCACCAUUGCACUCCAGCCUGGGUGACAUAGCGAGACUCUUUCCCAAAAACAAACAAACAAACAAAAAGACUCACUUACAUUAGCCUACACUUGGACAAAUUAAUCUAACACAAAGCCUAUUUUAUAAUAAAGUAUCUCAUAUAAUUUAUUGAAUAUUGUACUGAAAGUGAAAAACAGAAUGGUUGUUUGGCUACUCAAAGUAUGGUUUCUACUGAAUGCGUGUCGCCUUUGCACCGUCAUGAAGUUAAAUAAUCAUAAGUCAAAUCAUGGUUGGUUGGGGCCACCUGUACUCACACCCUUGUGUCAUCUCCUACCUGGACUCAGGGCGUAGCUUUGUGAUUGUUUUGGCCGAUACAACCUUGGUAAACAGGAAGCCAGCAGAGGCUCAAAAAUGCCUGUUAGUACGUCGGAGCUUGCCCACUUGUCCUUUGCUGUUUAGGAAGUGCAGGUUGUCCUGCUGGAGAGGCCGCCUAGAGGGGAACUGAGGCCCCCAGCUGACAGCCUAGGUGAACAUGGAUGUGAGUGAGUCUGUCUUGGCUCAUCUAGUCCUCGUUGAGCCUUCAGAUGACUUUAGCUGCAUGAGUUGACCCCAGGUGAGAAAAGCCCAAAUUGCAGAAUUCUGUGUAAAUUGUUGUUAUUUUAACCCAUUAAAUUUUGUAGUUAAAAAUAUUUUGGAUUACAGUAGGCAACUGAUAUAGUCCCAUUUUUAUUUCUUUUAUGAAUUGAGUAUAGUAGCAGAUGAUAGGUUUAAUAAAAGUGUUAAUGUCUGUUCUUGGCAAAAUGAAAAUAUGAUAACACUUUGUUAGAUCUACAAUUUUUUGACAGAGGGCAGAUUUUACUUCUUAGUAAACGUAGGUGUCUGGGAACCACUGAAUUAGUGGAGAUCCGAGGGAGGUGUUGCUGUGCAGCCUGGGGUCUUCAUCCACCAUUGGCAUGUAAGUUAGUGUGACUUAGAUUAAAAAAGUGAGAAAUAGUUAAGGCUGGAGGGUGGAGGUGUGGGAGCUCUCAGUGUUCUGUGAGCCGGCUUCAUUUUUCAGAUGAAGAAACAGAAACCUAGAAAGUGACAGUGAGCCUGAGAGCACCCGGUGGCACUAGGGCUAUGCUGUUCCUUGGAGCAAGCCAAGACUGGCUGGCUGGAUGCGAUAUUGAGGAUGGGCAGGGGCAAAGGAUAGGAAUGUUGAGUGGCAGCCCCCAGGUUGGGCCUGGUGGUUUGAGGGGCAUGCCCAGAAGGAACUGUGGGAAAUAAGGGAUGUCAUCUGCCCAAGGACACCAACCCUUUGGGGAGCACUCACAAGGGAGAUGGCUUGAAGUGGUAUCAAAGACCCAUCAAGGACCUGUUACUGCUGGGGCUGGUGGGGUCCUGCUGGGCAUGUCUCCGGGGAGGCUGCUGGGAAUGUGCGUGUAUGUGUGUUACAUGUGCACACAUAAUUCUGAAUGUUGAUGCAUGCGUGGGGAGAGAAGCAGAGUGAGCAGCUGAGAUGGAGGAGGGAGAGAGAGACAGAGGAAGGAGUGGGCUGAGAGAUGGUAGAAGCUUCUGGGAGGUCUUCCUUUGGGGUUCUUGCAGUUUAUUCAGACUUGAACCCAUGAAGUCAUGGCUGAUCAUGGCACUGAUUCUGCCCCAACACCACACUCCUUGGGCCUUUGGUAAAUAUUUGAUAGUGAGAUCCCAAAGUGCCACAUGCCAGGGGACAGAGCCUGAAGCUCUUGGGAAGGAAGACCAGCCAGCAGGAUGGGACUGGGUAGGGAACCAAGGGAAUGUCAGAAUUCACUUCGUCCUACUUAGCCUAUUUUGUGUGUGUGUCUAAACCUUGUAUGUUGAAUGAAUAUUCAGAUCGAAAAUUUGACUUCCUCGUUGAGUUGCAUUCUGAAAAUGGAGUCCUAUUCUGGUAGAGUCAGGCCUUAAGAUAGCACACAAGUAUGCUGAAGAAUGCAGCUGGGGUCUUUUUAAGAUUUCCUCCCAAAAAUAUUAGUGUGUGGGCAGGGGGUUGGGGAGGGAGGAGCCACUUUCUAAUGAAAUAUUAGCAACGAGGCAGAAAUACACUGCAAAACAUAAAUUCAGAAGCCAAAAAUACAGUCACCCUGGCAGUGGGAUAGCCCUCUCAUCCCGUGACUCACUGGGAGUAGUCAGGGUUUUGUGUCCUGAGAUAGUUCCCCCCUCCCCCACUCCCCACUCCUUCUCCUUCUCCCAGCAAAGCUCUUCAGUCCUCGAAUCUCUCACCAGUCCCAUACUCAUCACUGGUGUCUCCCUUGGAGAUAAUUUGUGAACCCCUUUCUAUCUGUGAAUAUGCAUAUAAUUCCUGGUGUCCCUCCCCUGCCUGCCUCCCCCUUCUCUCAGGGCCCCAAGACUGUUGGGGGCCACGCAGUCCUCCCUGGCACACUGCUAUGCCAGCCUCAGGUAGCAUGAGGUCUGGUGACUGAACCACACUGGAACACUGACCUGAUGUUAAUGAUGGAAGUUGAGGCACACAUGGCCAGUGGGAAAAGUGGGAGCCCAGAGGUGGAGCUGGUCCAUGAGGGCUCAGCAUGAGGCUUGAUGAAGCCUGGGACCGUAGCAGAGUGUUUCCCACACUGCAGGGUGGCAGGAUUUCUGUCUUAACACAGGCUGGCUCGGUUCAGGCAGGGGACAUUUGGGGAAUUAAGUGUCGAAGCCAGAAGCAAUUCCCAUCAAGUGGAGCUCCUGGGCCCUGGAGGAGGCUGACAGGGUGAGGCAGUUGGAAAGUCCCCUUCCAGGCAGGAUCCCUGUGCUGUAUUCUCCCUGUAAGGCAAAGUGAUAUCGUGGGAACAGCUCAAGUCUUGGGUUCAAGUCUCAGCUCUGCUCUUCCUGGCUAUGAGGCUUUGGGCAGGUCUCAAAACUUCCAGAGCUUCUGGUGCCUCCCCUGGGGGAUGGAGCUGAGGAAUAGAGCCUGCACCUUGGUGUCUCUGGGAGAUUUGCCAGGCAGAGAGUUGGCCUUCAGGGUCUGGGGACCAGGUGGUCACUGGGAGCUGAUAGAGGCUGAGGGUCCUGAUGCAGGAGACUGAGGAGCAGGCAGAGACCUGGGGCAGCACCAGAGCUAUGGCUGGGAGCAGCCGGAGUCUCGGGCUUAGGCCGCAGGGCACCCAGUGAGGCGACAGAGAGGAAUGGGUGAAGGCCAGCGUCACUCACUUGUCUCCCCUGCCCCACACUGUCCUGGGCAGGCUUUGGGUUAAACCUGAGACAACUUUAUUUCUCAUGACAGAAGAUUUAUGUGUUCAUUAUAGGAAAUACGAUCCAAAGCAAGAAAAUAGGAAACAGCCAGGACCCCACACCCAGAGGCAGCCCGUUAACCCCUUGGUGGGGAGCCUUCCAGACUGGCCAGGCAUGUUGAGACAAAGCUCACAGAGGGGCUGUCAUGAAAUCCAGCACCAUGGGGAAGGGAGUCUUCUCUUAUAGAUGAGGAGAUGGAGGCUCAAAAGGUCAUGAGUCUUGGUUAAGACCCCAUGGCCCUUACGUGCCCCAACUUGGUCCUUACACAUUCUCACAUAUAGCAGUGUUUCACAGGUACCUGUAAAUUGGUACAAAUAUAAUGAUCAGAAACAUUUUAAAAACAACCUUUUUUUUUUUUUAAAGCAUUAAAAAAAGAUCCCAUGGAGGGAGAGUGGUGGUGGCCUUCUUGUCUCUGAACCCAAAGUACAUGUUCUGUCUUCAUCUCUGCUCUCUAAGUAUCUGUGACAUUCCCUGGUGGCCUUGUCUCCAGCCACAAGAAAGCCACUUUCAAGACUCAGUGGUUUCCUGACAUCAAACAGCCAGGAAGCAAGAUGGGCUGGGCCCUCCCCAGGUGCAGGACUCUGUACGAGGUGCAGAUGGGCUAUUGAAAAAUAGCACAAGCUCUGUCUUCCUGAAGUGCGGUCCAGCACCGCCCGAUGUGCCUCUGUUGCGGCCAUGCAGCCGCAGAUGGCUCAGCAGAGUGCUGUCUCUGUCUGUGCACAGGUCAACCCCUGACCUCAGCUACUGGGGGAUGGUCAGGGGCUCUCAGGUGGGCAUUGGACAAGAUAGUAGAUGGGCCUGGAAGCCACAGCCCUUCUCUUUGGAGGUGACUUGGUACUGGGAAGAGCUAGGAUCAAAGGAGUGAGUGGAGAGGCUGGCUGCAGGAGCAGGGCUGCUGGUCCCACCUGGAAUGUCUGCUCCCAGGAGGUCAAAGGCCUAAUUUCAGCUUCCCCAGUGUCUCCCCCAGGAGUUGCUGCCAGCUCCCUCCUCACAGGGGCAGCUUUGCUUUCUUCUAACAGUUCCUCAUGGGUACCUUCACUAGUCCUAAAUUGGUUGUUGCCUUAAUCUUGUACUUCUCAGCCUGCAGAACUGUCAGAAAUAAAUUUCUGUUGUUUAUGAGCCACGUUGUUUAUGUAUUUUCUUACAGCAACUUGAAUGGAUGGAGACAAUGUCCAUGUCUUAGCCCCUGGGGACAUAUUCACAAUAUGUCACCUUACACGGCAAAAGAGACUUCGCAGAUUUGAUUAGGUUAAGAACCUCGAGGUGGGAAGAUGAUCCUGGACUAGCCGGGUGGGCCCCAUGUAAGCACAAGGAUCCUCAUGAGCAAAAGAGAGAGGCAGGAGAGUCAGCAUCAGAGAGUGCUUAGAAGAUGCUCUGCUGUGUGCUUUGAAGAUGGAGGAAGGGGCCACAAGCCAAAGAAUGCAGGUAGCCUCUAGCAGCUGGAAAAGGCAAUGAAUGGCUUCUCUCCUGGAGACUCCAAAAGGAACACAACCCUGAUAACACCUUAAUUUUAUCCCAGGAAGACCCAUUUGAGACUUCUGACCUCCAGAACUGUAAGAAUAAAUGUGUCUGGUUUUAAGUCACUAAAUUGGUAAUAAUUUGUUAGAGCAGCAGUAUGAAACUGAUACACUGUGUGACCACCACACCAAGAGAUGAGAUGUUUUCAUUAUUCCAGAAGGUUCCCUCGUGCCCCUUCCUGGUCCACAUCUACUCUGAGAGGUGGCCAUUGUUCUGACAUACUCCCCCUUAGAAGAGCUGUGCCUCUUCUUGACCUUUACAUAACUGGAAUUGUAUAGUAUGCAUUCUUUCCAGUCUAGGGUCUUUUAUUCAGCAUGGUGCUUUUGAGUUUCAUCCUUGCUCUUGGAUGUUUCUGUAGUGUUAUUGCUGAGACAUAUGUUGUCUCAUGGGCAUACCAUACUGCGUUUAUCCCUUCUGUUGAUGGAUGUUUGGAUUGUUUCUAGUUUUUAACCAUUAUGGAAAAAAAAGACUGCUCUGAAUAUUCUGGAAUAAAUCUUUUUGGGGACGCACACACUCGUUUCUCUUGGGUAAAAUCGUGGGAGUGGAGCUACUGUGUGGCAGAAGGGCCUCUGUUCAGCUUGAGCAGAAGCACUGGGGAUUUUAAAGCACGAGCUCUGGUCAGCCUGGCCGGACUCGGGGACUGGAUGCUGACAGCCACCCGCUGGCCUACAGUGGUUUCUGGGGGCACAUGUGUGAUGGUAGGCGAGGCCUUCUCUGGUCCAGGGAAGAGGGGUUAGUGGUCCUCAGACUGGAGAUUCAGCUGGAAAACCUCAGCACAUGUGUGCAGUGGGUCUUAGGAAUGAAUGUCAGGGAGGCCAUGCUUCCUGAGCACCUAGUCUCACCCAGCUCAGUGCUGGAGUAUCCUUAUGGGUUAUCCCUCAUGGUCUCUACAGCAACCCAAUGAGAGAGACAGUUGUUAGCCUGGUGUGUAUUUGUAGAACUGAGGCCUGAGACAGAUCCUGUCUGACAGAGCUAGGGAGGUGGGACUGGGUGUUGCCCUAGAGCCCAGCUAACUUGGGGUUCCCAACCCCAUCCCCCACCCCUGGAAGAGCAGCUUGGGGCUGUGCCUAUUUGGAGGGCAACACAAGGGUCAAAUCCUCCCAGUUGAAGGUCAGCAGGCCCCUCUCUCCCUGCAGACAGAUGAUGUACCAGCCAGGCCUAAGAAAUGGCAGAUGGCUUCCCAGAUGGCAAAGGACACAGCCCAGCUGUGCAGGGGGUUGUGUGAGGACAGCAAUGAUGAGGGGCAAUGGUUAGAGGCUAAUGGAGGUAUUUGAUUGGUUAAAGAGUUGCAUCUGAUAUGAAGGGGAUAGAGAGCUACAGUAGGUGCUUGAGGCUGGGAGUGACGUGAUGAUGUUGGUGGUUGUGAUGUGAUCCAGGGGGACAGCCUAGAGGCAGUGACACCAGCUGGAAGAGUAUAAGGCUCUCUGGGAAGCUCUUCACACUACUCUGCUUUUGCUCUUGCUGUUCUCUCAGCCUGGUGUUUAUUCCCAUCUUGUUCACUCAGCAAACUUGCCCUCCCAGGAGGCUGCCAAGCAUUACCUUCCUGGAGCUACCUUCCCCCACCUCCAUCAGGGAUGUCAGUCUGUCCGGACACCCCUGGGGCACUUACUGUGGUGCCUCAUGAAGAGUCCAUGUGCAAAAUAGAAUUUUACUGGGCUUUUAAUUACAGUGUUUUUAAUAUUCAAUUUAAUAUUUAAAUUGAAAUCAUCCCACUGUUUUGGCCUGAGACCUCAUAGUUGGAUUCUCAUGAAUCAAAUACCCAUGUGAUGUAUGUUCACAAGAUAAGACUGAUGAUAGCUGGAUAGGAGUGGGCAGAGGAGGGCUCAGGACAGGCACACCGGGUGUGGGGCACAGGGGAUAUUUCACGUUGGCCCUGGUUAUUCCCACUGAUGAACUUCCAGGUCAUAACACCCAUCUUCCUGUUUCAGGGUCAGCUCCUGGAGCUCUUCUUGUUCAUUAACCCCGCAUGUCCUCAGUGUGGCAUCCAUGCCAUUCAGGACCCUCCCAGACUAGGUCUGUGGAGAAGGUGAGAGGCAGGGAAACAAGGUUUCGUUGGAGCAGCUGGCUGGUGUGGGUGUCCCUAGUACCAGCUCCUACUUCUCCAAGUCCAGGGCAUUCCUGUGGCCACCUCCCAGCUCAUCACCUUGGGCACAGACAUUCUGGGCCCUGUGGGGGAGGACCGUUCACCUACUGGAAGUCAGGCUGAUCACUCUGUGCCCGGCUCGCCUGGAGCAUUCCUCUUUGCAGAGGAGAUGGCCACUGAUUGAUUGAGUUCCAGACAGAGCUGUUAGAGAUAACAAUGAAGUCAGAGGAGCUGCCCCUGCCUAAUGAAGUGGGCAGGGCUGCGGCCUGGGACUGUGGGGCAGCAGUAAUGAAAAGGCAGAGACAGACCACCCUGGGUGCCCAAGACCUCCUCCCUUGCCUGGACUUGGCCAGUUGUCCAUCUGUGCAUGGGGCGAGGUGUAAAGCUCAUUCCCUGGACCCAGGCACUGCAGAGACUGAUGUGUUGGGGCUGGAACAAGGGGUCCUGGAGGGCCACGUGGCUUCAGGCCCACUCAUACUUUCAUAACAUGCACAGAGCAGUGUGUGCGAGCACCCAUGAUGAUGAGAGUGAAUAUUAUGGCAGCUGGGGCCAUCUGCAUGGCCUCCCCGGGACUCCUAAACACAGCACGUACAUUAUUUCCUGGAGUGUAUACAUUUCUGAGGCCUGUUGUCCCCAGCAAAGGGUUUGGAGAGACUUGUAUUUGCAUUUCAGUUCGAGGAGGGGUAGGGAUUAGGAGGAGUUUGUGGUUUGUUUGCUCUCACCCUGCUCUAGUCAUGCACACUUGAGUUUUCUUUUCUUUCUUUCUUUCUUUCUUUCUUUCUUUCUUUCUUUCUUUCUUUCUUUUUUUUUUUUUUUUUUUGUGAGGUUGACUUACUCUAAGUUCAAAUUCAAAAGCUCAUCAACAUUUGGUGGUCAGUAUUUUGCCUUCUCUGGGCCAGGAACUGGCUUGGUACAGUAUAAAAAGGUGGGGUGGAGGGGCACUCUGCUGGCCUCAUCACAGCUGGUUGGUCUCAGGUGGGAUACUCUGGGUGACCUCUGGGUCCCUUGCUCUGUAGAGGAGACUUGGGAGAUGCUUUUCCAUGACCUUUGGAUUCCUUGGGAAAAGACUUUGAGCAAAGUCGGUCCCUAGGAGGAAUUGUUCAUUCAGUGUCGUGUGUGUUUAUCUCCCUUUACUGCUCUGAAGUUAGGGAUUCAAUUUCAACUCCUUUCAAGAUUAGUUACCUUUGGAAUUUUGCCAUGCAUACUUAGCAAAGUCUAAAGUUAAUCAAUAACUUAGUCCAGUUUCCUAAUUCUAGUUGUACAAAUGUAAGCCUGUCAUUGAAGAUUUUGUGCUUACAAAGUAAGAAGUAAUUAGGGAUUUUAUACUUCAAAGGUCUUAAAAAGUCUCAGAAAGGACUUUGUCUCCUCUCUUCUGACAUGGAAGUCUUCACUCUCUGUGCUGGGGCCUGUUCUGAGCGGGACAUUUGGCUUCUGGGGGUGUCCCUGCAUCCUGGGCAGCUCCCAUCAUGCCUCCCCUCCAGGCUGCAGUGGGUAGUCCUGGCUUGUCCUCUUCCAGAGCUCCUUGGAACCCCCUUUAGCAUUGGCCUUCUCUUUUCUUUUCUUUUCUGAAAGCAGCAUUUUCCUAGGCAGGUUUCUGCACACCUCCCUACCCAGGACCUGGCUAGCUGCAGCUGGCACAUGCAGACAGUCACACAGCAGAAUGUUUUAAUGCUGUGCAGGUUGCCCUCCUGACACAGGUGGGUCUGCAGAAGGCUAGUUACAGCUGCAGGUGUUGAGGCUGUCACUAGCAUUUAUUCUAGUAUACCUUGAAACAGCUGAUCUGUUAGGGGAAGCACCAGCAAGUCAGCCUAAAGCACGCCAGCACAAUAGCACGUCUGGCCCUUGGGAGGAAUGGGGCCAUUCUGCUCUGCUAGCCAGCUUCCCAGCAUCUAGGGGAAGAGUGAAAACCCAGCUAUGUGUCUAGGGCUCUGCCCCAGCUCUGUGCCCGUGUUCUUACAUUGCCAAAGAGUGGGGUGUCUGGGAGAGGCCAGUGCCAGCUCUUGCCCAAGCCCCAGUUGGGGAGUCUGGAGUCAGCAGCUAGAUUCACCACUAGAUGGGUCCCGGGAGAAAGUUGUGGCCAACUCUAUCAGGCACAGAGGUUGGAGGAAGAAAGCGAGGGAGGAGGCGGUGCCCAGAGUAGGUGGCGGUGGCUGAGUCCAGUCCCAGAGAUGAGGCUGGGCUCCUGAAGGCAGAGGGCAGGGGCGGUUCUCCUUACAAGGCUGAUAAUAGCAGCUCUUCGAUUUGUUUUUUAAUUGAGAUAUUCACAUAUAAAACUCACCACAUAAAAUUCAGUGGUUUAUAGUGUUCACAGGAUUCUGUAACCGUCACCAUUAUUAAGCUCCAAAAUAUUCUGAUUACCCUGAGAAGAAACUCCUACCCAUUAGCAGUUACUCCCUAGGUCUGCUCCCAGACUGGGUCACUGCUCUUACUGCAAGUUGCUAGCAGAACGGACUUGGGCAGAAGUCACAGAGUCCAGGAGCCUCAGGGCUGGAAUGUGGUGGAGACAGGGAGCUCAGGCCCUAGUGACAGGCACUUGCUGGCUGUGUGAUUUUGGGAAGAUGCUUAACCUCUCUGUGCUUUGGUCGUUGUCUGCUGUUAACUGGGGCUGGGAACUACCUAUUUCCCACCUCACUGGGUUGUUUAAUAAGAUAAAAUGAAAUGCUAAGUAAUAAUAGCUAUGCCUGCUUGUUAAGAUCUUUUUGCAUUAUUCUUAUUUAAUCCUGAUUAAUCCUGGGAGAUAUGAGUUAUUAUUGUCCCUGUCUAAUACCUAAGGAAGACCAAGCACCAGAGAAGUUGAGUAACUUGUUCAAGAUUGCACCACUAUGAAUGAGGUUUUAGUUGCAAAGCAUGUAAAACUCGACUCUGUCUUGUUUACAGAGAAGGGAAAUUAUGACCAGAAAAGGAAGUCCAGGGGCCCGGCAGGCUGACUCGGCAGCUCAUGGACCCCAUCAAGGAUGGAGGGAGGUUCCUUUGGUGGUGGUUGCAUCUGUGUGCUGGUGGCAAGAUGGCAGCUGCAGGUGUGGCCUCAUGCCCCUGGGCGUCCACCCUCUUCUCAGUGCCCUCUCUUAAGCCCCAGGCUGACUUUUCAUGUCCCAUUGGCCAGGACUGUGAGUCACAAACCCACUCCCACAGCCCUCAUUGGCAGCAGGAGGGGGCUCACCAUUAUUGGCUUAGAUUACUUGGGAUCUACCCCAAAUGUAAAAACUGGGGUUUAGUUAAGAAGUGGGAAAUGGAUUUUGAGUGGACACAGUUGUAUCUUGGCAGUAUCUACCAAGACUAGCAGGGACCUGAGCCGAGGUCUGAAACAGCCCUCUGAGGUCCGUAGCUGACACUCAGCCUCUACAAAACCCGGCCACAUAGCAGGUGCUCAGUGAAUCUCGUGUCAAUGCAUAAAUUCUACUUCUCACCCCGCACCCCUGAGUUUAUCUGACCUUCUGUUGCUCUUCUAUACUCAGUUAAGUGGUUACCAGGCCUCUGCUUGAGCUUUACUUGUGGGGAACUUAGUACCUUACCCAGGAUUUUCUUCCCUUUGUUGACCAUUAAGUGCCACGGCUACUUUUUGGGUGAAUUACAAAAAAAUCUGCUUUAGGUGCAAAAAUUACAAAAAAAGUGGGCUCACACUAAACAAUGCAGCCCUUCAUGGCUUGGAAUGAUGCCUUUGUGUUAAGAACAUAGCAUGCUUACCUCUGGGUAGAUAGAUGUUCUGUAAGGUUGGUACCUUUGUGCAGUACACAAACUGCACAACUGUUUUGGGAUAUCUCUUCCAUUAAGGAAUUCUGCAGAGGGGUUUUUAAUGGGCUUGAGCCUCUGACCUCCUGGGCACUGGCAGAGAGUAGACAGUUUGUGCCCAAGUUACUCAGGUUUGGAGUGUGUGGUGGCAAAGGGCUCCCCUUCCUUCCUAGAGAUGGUGCAUCUCCCUCUCGUGAGAGAGUUCAGCUGGGGAAGGGUGAACCUUCACCUUCUGGACCCUUACCUCCUUUUCCCUCUCCCC